UCCGCAGGGGGCCUGCCACGCCUGCCGUGAAAUUCCAAGGCUCAACCUUGGACCUGCGGCGGGUACGGGCGGGCUAGAGUGCAAGAAGGGCAGACGGAAUUCCAGGUGUAGCGGUGGAAUGCGUAGAUAUCUGGAAGAACACCGAUGGCGAAGGCGGUCUGCUGGCUUGUAACUGACCCUCAGGGACGAGAGCGUGGGUAGCAAACAG
rnacentral:rRNA from 1 species